GCCAGUGUGGUAUAGUGGUUUGGGCACUGGACUAUGAAGCUAGAGACCAGGGUUCAAACUCCUGCUCAGUCA